GAUGAAGAACGUAGCGAAAUGCGAUACGUAAUGUGAAUUGCAGAAUUCAGUGAAUCAUCGAGUCUUUGAACGCACAUUGCGCCCCCUGGUAUUCCGGGGGGCAUGCCUGUCCGAGCGUCAUUGCUGCCCUCAAGCACGGCUUGUGUGUUGGGCCUCCGUCCUCCUCCCGGGGGACGGGCCCGAAAGGCAGCGGCGGAACCGCGUCCGGUCCUCGAGCGUAUGGGGCUUCGUCACCCGCUCUUGUAGGCCCGGCCGGCGCUUGCCGACACAUCAAUCUUUUUUCCAGGUUGACCUCGGAUCAGGUAGGGAUACCCGCUGAACUUAAGCAUAUCAAUAAGCGGAGGA
rnacentral:misc_RNA from 1 species